rnacentral:rRNA from 1 species
UACAGAGGGGGCAAGCGUUGUUCGGAAUUACUGGGCGUAAAGGGCGCGUAGGCGGCCUUCUAAGUCGAACGUGAAAUCCCCGGGCUCAACCCGGGAACUGCGUCCGAUACUGGAAGGCUUGAAUCCGGGAGAGGGAUGCGGAAUUCCAGGUGUAGCGGUGAAAUGCGUAGAUAUCUGGAGGAACACCGGUGGCGAAGGCGGCAUCCUGGACUGGUCCUGACACUCAGGAGCGAAAGCGUGGGGAGCGAUCCGG